UUCAACCCUAUACUUAAAAGGCUCUUAAACCCAAACCCUAAAAGGAGUUUCUCCUAUAAAAAAAAACACGAUCUAUAUCUCCGCAAGUUCUGAACUCCAAUUGGAUCUAAAUAAUGAUUGGUGGGUUGAGGAUGUUUUUCUCGGUGAUGAACAAAAAAUGAUGACGAGUCCGAUCUCUGUUAUUCCAUUCUUUUGUGACGACAAAUCGAGGCAUUUGUCUGAGAGAGAACUCCGUACCCUUUUCAUUGUCGUACUCUUUUUGUGUUUGUUUUUUAAUGUUGGGUUUUAGUUUCUCUCAGCAGAUUUGGUUUUGGGUUUGAUUAAUUUGUGAGAUUGUCAGGCAUAAUGAUGAGAGAUUAUCAUAUCUGAUACUUUCAGUGAUGAGCUAAUUACCUCCUACUCAUACUGAAUGCCUGCUAAUAAGCCUUUUAUUAUUAUUAUUAUUAUUAUUAUUAAUUUGUUUGUGUUCUUUUGUUUUUGAUUUACGUUGUCUCUUGAUCCUAGUGUGUUGGGGAGAGAGAUGGACGAGGUAGCGAUGAUGAGAAAGCAAUCUCACUCUCUCUGUUGGAUUGAGGAGCUCCGAUGAUUUGUGUUUCAAGCACUUUUGAGCUGCUCUCUCUCUCUCUCUCUCUCUCUCUCUCUCUGUGUUAUUUCCCGCUGAUGCACGUCGUGGUUCUAAACCGAUUGAUCUACCGGUGUGCUCCUUGGUUGUGGUUGUAGACCUGCAGUUUCAACUUUCAAGAUGUCCUUUUGUCCUUAGAAAGGGGAGACUGUGUUUUGUUUGACUGAAAUCAAUCAAACUGGGACUUAACAUUCAUCUUUCCCAGAUUACCUCCCUGGAUCGUUGGAUUUGGGCCUUCUCUUUCAUGACAGUUUUCUCUAAAGUCAGCCCAUGAAGCAAUUAUCCAAGCCCAGCCCUUUAGACUUUAGAGUUGGCAGAUUUGGAUGGCCUUUUAAGCAUUUACUUUUAAAAGUUGUUUGGAAAUUGGAAUUCCCCGCGGGUUCUGUCCAACAUUGGCAGAUUCAUCCGAUCAAGGAAUAUGGAUGACUAGAAUUGUCCUAUUUGGUCAAAAAACUAUUCAACACAUUUUUAGCUUCCUAA